GUGGGGAAUAUUGGACAAUGGGCGCAAGCCUGAUCCAGCCAUGCCGCGUGUGUGAAGAAGGUCUUCGGAUUGUAAAGCACUUUAAGUUGGGAGGAAGGUCAGUAACCUAAUACGUUGCUGAUUUGACGUUACCGACAGAAUAAGCACCGGCUAACUCUGUGCCAGCAGCCGCGGUAAUACAGAGGGUGCAAGCGUUAAUCGGAAUUACUGGGCGUAAAGCGCGCGUAGGUGGUUAUGUAAGUUGGAUGUGAAAUCCCCGGGCUCAACCUGGGAACUGCAUCCAAAACUGCAUAGCUAGAGUACGGUAGAGGGUGGUGGAAUUUCCUGUGUAGCGGUGAAAUGCGUAGAUAUAGGAAGGAACACCAGUGGCGAAGGCGACCACCUGGACUGAUACUGACACUGAGGUGCGAAAGCGUGGGGAGCAAACAGGAUUAGAUACCCCGGUAGUCC
rnacentral:rRNA from 1 species